GACAGAGGAUGCAAGCGUUAUCCGGAAUGAUUGGGCGUAAAGCGUCUGUAGGUGGCUUUUAAGUCCGCCGUCAAAUCCCAGGGCCCAACCCUGGACAGGCGGUGGAACUACCAAGCUGGAGUACGGUAGGGCAGAGGGAAUUUCCGGUGGAGCGGUGAAAUGCGUAGAGAUCGGAAAGAACACCAACGGCGAAAGCACUCUGCUGGGCCGACACUGACACUGAGAGACGAAAGCUAGGGGAGCGAAUGGGAUUAGAACUACCGUAGGUCAGUCCAAGA
rnacentral:rRNA from 1 species